rnacentral:snoRNA from 1 species
CUUCAGUGAUGACAGGAUGACGAGUCAGAAGGGUCGCUUCCUGCUCUUGGUCCUUGUCAGUGCCACGUUCUGUGGUGCUGUGCAUGGGUUCCUUUUGCAAAAAAGCAACCUAUUCAUUGGUUGAUUUAGAGGCAUUUGUCUGAGAAGG